GUGCCGGGAGCGGGGAGCUCGGCCCUGGCGCCGCCGACUCCCGCCCGAGGUCGGCCUGCACGGUCACGGUCCUGCUCACGUUACUCUCCCUUCCUCUCUUCUCGCGCCCCCCACUUCUCUCGCGCGCGCACACUCACACGCACACGCACACGCUCAUGCACACUCUCGCUCACCCCCUCAUGAAAUCGGACCCUUGUUUAUCAGGGUCCCGCGCGCCCUUUGCACUUUCACAUUUCGCUUAAUGAUUUCAGACUUGGCGGUGCAGAGAUGUAUGUGUUGGGGCGGGGGUGGGCAACACCCCAUCCGUCGCCCGCUCCCCUCGAAGGGGUUAAGUCUUAAGCCGCGGUUUCUCGGACCAGCCCGGAAAUCCACAGUGGGGGUGGGGUGGGGGUCUGCUUCUCCGCCCCCCCCCCGCCGUUGCAGAUGCUAAUAACUAUUCAGUUUUCUAGACCGAUUCUUUUAAAACUUAUGCAAAAAAAAAAAAAAAGAAAAGAAAGAGAAAAGAAAAGAAAAGAAAAAGGAAAGAAAGAAACAGAAAAGAGAAAAGAAAGAACCAACAACUGUUUCUAAGAUUUUAAAGCGAUAGGCAAGUCGGAGAAACCGAGAUUUAUUUGGGGGAAAGCAAGCGUGCGCCAAGCCGACCCAACGUGUGGAAGACCAGCCCGCCUACUUGGAUAUUGAGACUGUUGAUUCCUCCAAUUAAUGAAAUGCAUUUGGUGUUAAUCAUAUUUAUUUUACUUUAUGGGAGGGGGAGACGCUAGGACGGCGCACUAAAAAAAAAAAAAAAAAAAAAUUCUGAAAAGCCUGCAAAAGAAUCCGAGUGAAAACUAUUGUUGGAUUUUUACCUCAACAGCGCCACCUUUCGGCAAAGGUCAGUUGAAAUUGAUCCGUGUCCAGUUUUGUUGAAGUGAAAAAAGAAGCUGGUUUCUCAAGGUGGGAGGGGGACUGAGGCACGGAAAGUUUGCGGUGGGAGAGAACCCGACCUUGUAGGAAAGGGGCUAAGGACUGAGCUGGCGGCUGCGGGAAUCCUCUUUCCCCCACUGCCCCCCCUCCCCCCCGAGGUUCGACAAAGAGGCCACGAGACACAGAAGACUUCGGAGUAUGAUUCUGCUGAGAUCUUUUGCAAGUGAAUCCCACGCGUAACAGGGCCCCAAACUCUUUAAAAGUGCCGGGAUGGAUUUUCAACGGGCUUUAUGGCAAUAUCAAUAGAAUUAAAGUUACUUGUAAUUCGGUGAUAAAUGAGAUGUCUCUAGUAAGUAUGAUUAAGUGCAGUGCUAUAAAGUUGUUUAUCUGAAAAGUAAUUCUCAGAAAACCUGACUUCUGACACUUAGUCAUAUAUUAAGCCAGCUUCUUGAACAUUGCACUUCAGAACUGCUCUCACCCACCCCACAGCAUGCCUUACUAUUUAUAAUGAGACCUUAGGUGUCACUCAUUCGCUUCUUCCACCAGAUUAGACUCGUGUUAAUUCUCUGAUGCUGGCAGCCUUCAGUUCCAGCAAACCCAGAAUCCCUAAUGAGAGACUCUCCAAAAGGGGAUGUCUCCUCUUGUCCUUAUCCUGGCUCAAAUGUGGUUUCCUUGGACCCCAACUGGGCUCCCCAAGUCUCUGGGGGGCUCCAUGACUGCCAAGAUCUGUGACCAGUGUGGAAUCUGCACUCAGCCGAGAGACACAGCUACCGCUAUUAUUCUUCAUCAUCAGCUUGCUGAGAGGAUUCAUAGAAAUGUGUGACUUGGCUUGUCUUGCUUCUGAGAACCGAGGUUAAGGCUUGUUCCUUGGAGGAAGUCCUGUGGCUCAGAAAGAGACAGAAAGAAGAUCAUGCACCAAAGUGACCUUUUCCCCCAGCUGCUGUGCAGCGCAAAGCUGAUGAGCCAGGUUCUAACUGGGUGGAAGUCUGGGGGUAACGGGAAGGGUCACUCCGAAGACGACGCAACUUCCCCUGGUUAGCCUGUCGCCAGGUUCCUGGGUUGGGCUUGGUCCGCCUUCUGUGCCAAGCUGGUUUUCUUGGAUGCGGUGGCUUGGCAACUCCACCGGGUCUGGAAGCCAGCAACCAGGAGGUCGGGAGGGGCCCCGGGGAUGUGGGGGGACCCAGCCCAGCUCAGCCUUGCUGCACCCUACCCGGCUGAAAUCACAGACCCACUGUGGUCCGCUGGGUCGGGCCAGGGCGGAGCACCUGCGAAGGGAGGCCGCAGGUGAGGGCGGGGGUGCGGGGGUGCAGGGCCCGGAGCCCCCUGCAAUGCGAAUGUGUGCGGUGAGCACCCUCCCCCGGGGCCCGGGAGGACUGGGCGCUGCCCCCUGAUGGGAAGCCAGGGUCGGCCCAGGGGGCUGAGGGAGGGCGCGGAACCAUCCCAACCACUUGGCUCUGGGAAGAUCGGACUUGCCAUCCGACCCAAGGCUUGUGAAAUCCUGGGACAAGGACCCCAGGGCCUCGGCCUCUGGUGCAGCCUUUAGAUGGUGUCUGAAGAGAAGAAAAGGAGACCUAUCCAGGUCACUCGUUGCCUUUGUGACGCUCCCAGCGCCUGGCUUCUCGGAUGCCCCAUGAAAAGGCCACUCGUGGCUCCACGAUGCACCCCCUUCUCCUAAGGAACUGAUGUCCCCUGUACUUGGGCCACUUUCACAGUUUGUCAUUGACUCUAUCUUUUCCAUUGGCUCAUGAGAUUUUGGAGGGCAGGGAUGGAUCUCGUUUUCACAUCUCCAAAUGCCUAUGGUAGCAAAUGCCCUGCCGCAUGAAUAGAGGGAUGGAGGAAGGAAAAGUCAGUGACCACGGAAAUUAGAUGUUGCUGUGAGGAGGAGUGGGUUUCUUGGGUGGCCCCUCAGGCUGGAGGGAAUUUCCGUGUCUCAGGACCCAAUGAGGACACUUGGCUUCUACUUUGGCCUUGAACGGGCCUGUGAGGUCUUGAAGCAUGUUUAUUAUUUGUCAGUAUAGUUAAAACCAGCUUCAGAUGCACCCUUGCCACAAAAUGACACGAAAGCUCGGUAUCUAAUGUUAAUGAAUUAUGUGUCCCUGGGUCUUUUUUUUUUUUUUUUUUCUAUCUUCUUUUCUCAUCAGCACAAAAAGAACAUUCUUUUUGCUUUUGACUUUACCAGAAAUCAUACUUAUAUGUGUGCAAAAACGCUAAGAUAAGUUUCUAAGUAAAGGAAGCACCAUGAUUCUCUCUCUGUACAUUGACUGGCUGGGGACUGCAUUAAAACAUACCACAUCCUCUCCAUGCAAAACCUGCUGCAUUUUCAAUGUUCUCUUGGCCAGAGCCUACACCCCCAGCAUCCAGGGGGUCCAAGGUCAAAGUCUUCUGGCAAUGAAGAGUGAAAAGGUUGUCCAAAGAAAAAAAAAGUGUUUUUUUUUUAAUUUCUCUAAAAAAGUCAGCUCUACCUUCCUCAAAGAAUUUUGCCCCACUGACACUUCAAUGAGAAGAAAGAGGUAGAUUUUGAGAAAAGAUCCCGUGAUUAUUGAAUGUGGCACCAGGAAGGUCAAGGGCAGCAACAGCAACUGAGAAAUCUUUCUCUUUCUCUCUCCCACAUGCAGUCAGUCUCUAGGUCUGGGGAUCACAUGGGCCUCUAGCCCCACCAUCCCUCCGUGUGCAUUCACCGCUUUUUAAAAAACAGCUUUAUUGAGGAGAAAUCCUCAGUUUUCAGGAGAUACCAAAUUCAACCAUGGGAAGUGGACAGUUUUCUUAAAAUAUCUUCACAGGGCUGUGCAAGUAUCACCACUGUUUAAUCUAGAGCAUUUGUAUCACCUUCUCAAAACACCCAGACCCAUCGCCACUCAUUCUCUGCCUCCCCUUCUCCUCAAGCCCGACAACCAUCAGUCUCCUCUCUCUCUGUACAGAUUUGCCAGUUCUGGACAUUCAUACAAAUGAAAUUAUACAAAACGUG